rnacentral:rRNA from 1 species
ACGAACGCUGGCGGUGUGCCUCACACAUGCAAGUCGAACGGGGUAGCAAUACCCAGUGGCGGACGGGUGAGUAACACGUGGGAAUCUGCCUUUGGAUGGGGGAUAGCAAGCCGAAAGGCUUAUUAAUACCGCAUAUGCGUGCAUCUAGACAUGGGUGUACGUGAAAGGAGCAAUCCGUCUGAAGAUGAGCCCGCGCCCGAUUAGCUAGUUGGUAGGGUAAAGGCCUACCAAGGCGACGAUCGGUAGCUGGUCUGAGAGGAUGAUCAGCCACAAUGGGACUGAGACACGGCCCAUACUCCUACGGGAGGCAGCAGUGGGGAAUUUUACGCAAUGGGGGAAACCCUGACGUAGCGACACCGCGUGAGCGAAGAAGCCCUUUGGGGUGUAAAGCUCUGUCAACAGGAACGAAAAAAAUGACGGUACCUGUGGAGGAAGCAUCGGCUAACUACGU